UUGGAAAAUUUAGUUUUUGGAUAUCUUAAUAUAUACUAAUAUUAAUAUAAUCAUAUAUUUAUUAAUUAUAAAAAUGAAAUAUAUUAAAAAUAUCAUUCAUAAAUAUAUUAUAAAAUAUGUUUUGCAAGUAUAAUAUAUAAUUAUAUAUCCAUUUCAUUAAUUUUUAAAAUAUUUUUAUUUAUUUCAUAACUUAAAACAAUUCCAUUAUUUCAAUUAGUGAAAAAUAAACACUAAAUAGACAAAAUAAAAAAUAUAUAAAAAUGGGUUAAGUUUCAUAAUUACAAUUGGGUUUAAUAUAAUUUAAUCAAUGCGAAACAAUUAAAUUGGGCCUAAAUGCAUUCGAGUGGGCCUCGUUUUAUUACUGUUUUUGGUUUUUCUUUUUUAGUUUAUUUUCUUCUCCUUCUUGGUUUUAUUUUCAUCUUUCUUUCCCCUGCCUCUGCUCAGACUCUAUUUCUCUAAAUUUUUCAAACCCAGUUUUCGAUGUUAGAUCAUCGUAUCUUCUGUCAUCUCUCGCCAAUUAUCAAUGUCAGAAAAUCUUCAAAAUUCACCUGAAUCUUUUUUUUUUUUUAAAUCCUCUUUGUUUUUAUAGAAUUAGAUUUUUAUAAAACCUCUAGAAACUCAUGAAUCUAGCUUCAAACCCAAAUAAAAAAUUUCAAAUCUAGGGCCGCUGUUGCUGUCGUUGACCACCAAACUUCCACUAUGACUUCCUCUAUCCUCUUUCUUGAUUUUUACUAUUUGGAAUCCUCAAAAUCCCCGAAGAAAAUCUUAAACUUAAACCCUAGGAGAGAGAAAAUCCUUUUUCUCUCCUUUUUGUGUCUUUUUUUUUUUAUUUUUUUGUCUUGUUUACUUGAUUUUUGUGUAUUUGUUCUAUUUGAGUUGAUUUAUAUUUUUGGCUAUUUUUUUUAAGUCUUAUUCUUGUUUGUAUUUUUUUGCUUAUUCAUUUAUUCUAAUCUUGAUUCUUUGUUUAUGGCUAGUGAAAACACGGAAACUUGUUCUUCGAACUAAAGUCAGUGUCUGGCAUCAUUUGGAAUUGGUUGGCUAAUAUGAUAGAAUUUUCAGCACAAGUUUAAAAUUAAAAAAUAGUUUUUUUUAAGAGAUAACAAGUGUUAGUUGGCAAUUUAAUUGGUAUUUAAUUAUACUUAUGUGACAAUGAAUUAAGCUGAUGAUUUGACACUUAAAUAAAUAAGAAAAGUUUUGAUUUGGCAAAAAUUUGAGAUUUGGGGAUAACUUUAAUAUAUAAGUAUAGAUAGUUCUAUUUCAUAUAUGGAGGAAUAUCCAUCGAAAGUCAUAUUUUAUUAUAUUUUAAAACUAAUUUGUGACUAUUACAUGAAUUAUUUUGUUUAUUUAUAUCUUUCUUACAAUUAUCUAAGUCUUUAAAAUUUUAUGACAUAUAUAAAAUUUAAAUAUAUAUCAACUAAUAUGUCAUAAGAAAAUUAAACUUUAAUAUUAUUAUUUUAAUCAAAAUGUUGAAAAUAAUUAUGAACAAUAAGAGAUAUUAGAUAUAGAUAAAAAAGUACAAAAUAAUUGAAUAUAAAUUUAAUAUUAGUUUUUUUAGGAGAACAUAAAUAGUGAAUGAUCAAUAAAAUAAUAAAAGUAUAUUAUGAUUUUGAUUAAAAUACUAAAAAAAAUCAAUUAAAAAAUAUGUGACAAACAAAAAAGAAUUGAAUAAAAAAUAAAGAAGAAAUUAUUUAAAUAAUAAACAAUAAAUAUUAUUGUUUAAAAAACAAUAUAAUCUCAAAGGAAAACUAAAUAUUAAAAGAAUGACGUAGCACAUAUUAUUAAUUACUAAAAGAAGUAAAGAGAUAUGUGCUUUUUGAAUUUAAAAGGAAACUAAUAGUAAAAGUAUUUGAAAAUUGAAAAAAAAAAAGAUAUAUGUGAUUUUAAUUUAGAGAGAAUAUUUUUUUAUUUUUAUUAUUUCCUUUUGCAUAUUUAUACUAAAAAAAUCAAUAAUUUAAUUUGUUUUUAAAUUUGUCAAUAUUUUAAUUAAA
rnacentral:lncRNA from 1 species